UUCCUCUUCCAUUUCACCUACAUGGCUACACCCCCCAAAACCCAGUCUAAGCAAGUGAGCCUUGAAGACAUUGCCCUGAAACGCGAAAAAAGGCCUCUGCUAUAAUUGCAAGGACAAAUGAGGUUCUAACCACCGUUGUAAGGCACGGUUCUUUUUGUUGGUAGCGGAAGACAACGACAUUCCUCUUGAACCUACCCCUCAGUCCCUCAUACUCGACCUUGAACCACCUCCAUUACCUAACUCCUCUAACACCGAUCAUGCUCAGAUUAGCUUCAACGCACUCUCCAGCACUUCGGCAUCGGAAUCCCUCCGCAUAUAUGGUGACGUCAAUUAGUCUCGCGUCACAGUAUUGAUCGACGGAGGCAGUACCAAUAACUUCAUUCAAAC
rnacentral:misc_RNA from 1 species